CUGUGGUCAUCUGCAGCAGAACCAAGGCAGGCCCACAAAAGCUUACUCAUCCAAGUAAAGGGGACCCUCCUGCCCAGUGGGUAACUGCAAGCAUACAGAACCUCCACCACUGUGGUCUACAUCCAAGUGGGGCCAAUGUGAGUCAGUCUCUGAAGUGGCCCCAACAGAAUUGGCUAAGUUAUCCUCAUACAGCUUUAUACCCAUUUAAGUAUUUAUUGGCUUGGAUACAUUAUGCAUGCUAAUUCAGAUUAUACAUUCACUUUUUGAAAACUAUCAUCAGUGCCUGCAUGAGAGAGGGGUGGUCAGAUACCAUGUAAGAAGUGAGAAGGACAAUCUCUGCAAUCGGCUGUUUUUGAAACCUUACAGAGUAUUUUUCCUUCAGUGAGUUUGGCCUGCCCUGACCUCUGCAAUAGUUGCUGUUAAUGGGAAUUAGAUUUGUAAUUCCUCAAACACUGCCCCUUCCUUCUGCUUCUGUCUUCCCAUCAUUUUUAAAGUGCCUUAUUCUGACUCUUCACACAUCUAGCAAUCUGACCCUUUUAACUUUUUUCAUUUUGGAACUGGUUUUUAUUGUCUUUUAGAAUUCUACCCCCAGUCUUAAAUUUUAAACAAACAAAUCCACAUCCAGUCAACUUUCUGAAAUAUUUUUUGCUGUGAUAGAGAAGGAAGUAUGAUGGCAUUCAUUGUUUCUGGAUUAAAGUAUUUUUGUUUGUAUUACAUUUUAUUUUUUUAGGGACAGGGUCUUGCUGUAUCACCCAAGGUGGAGUGCAUUGGCAUAAUCAUGGCUCACUGCAGACUUGAACUCCUGGGCGCAAGCAAUCCUCUCAUCUCAGCCUCCCAAAGUGCUGGAAUUACAGAUGUGCACCACUGCGCCAGCUUAUUUCUGGAUUAAGUUUUGGCAGAUAAGAGUGUUGGCCUCACACAGGCCGCAUCUGUCCUGGGGCUCAUUUGUCCUUCUUCAACCUCCUCCACAGUUAGAGGCUCCUGAACUACAAUGGCAACGAUUGAAGAAACUGUUGUUGAAAAGUCCACGCCAAAUUCUCGGUAUGUCACUGAAGACAAGGACAUUUUGGGUAGAACCAGGCUGCUAAUCCACUCUUGCCAGGAGGGAAGAUUUUUUCUCUUUCUGUAGUGAGCAACAACGCCACUCGAUGAAGAAACUGAGGUUCAUGGAAGUUAAAUAACUUGCCCACAGGGCACAACUAGUAGGCAGCUAAGCUAGGACUUCAACUGAGGUCUGUAAGACUUAAAGCACAUGCUAUUCCUGCUCCUCAAUAGCUUUCCUGCUAAGCACCAAGAGACGCUAGGCUGCCAGGAACAUCACAGCAGAGACCACCGUCAAUCAAUGCAUCUCCACCGUCUUUUAGACAUUCUUUUGAAGAAAGAUUUAGCUGCUAAAAGAAAAGAUGAAUAUACAAAAAGGAUAAUACUACCAUAUUUCAUCAUAUUGUCUCGUUUUAAUACAAGAAGACUCAUCCAGCUUAAACAUUUGAUGUUUAAGAAGCUAACCAGCAAGCUGCCCUCUGGGAAUGCAUACCAUCAGGUAUGGAUCAGUGGCCCUGAGAUCAUGUUCAUAACUCAGCAGCUUUGUACAAGCUGUCAAGACUCAGAACAUGGUACCCCAAAGUAUGGCACCUUGGUGUGCUGAGUACUGUGGACUGAAGGACAUCGGAAAUGUCUCAGAAGCUAUGUCUCUUUGACCUUCUCCCAGCCUCCUGUCUCCUACCUGUCUUUCUCCCUUGAAGUGAGUCAUGGCAACCAUAAUUCCUCUUUCCCAAGGUGUGUCACAGAAACUAGAACCCCUCUCCUCCAAGGGAAGCCGUGAAACCUAGAAAGGUCACUCUCUGCCUUCCCCCUUCUCCCUUGAAGACCCUCAUUCCAGAGGGGCCCUGCCCCAUAUUCAGGAGGGUUACACAAAGAGGUUAAGAAGAAUUUGAACAUUCAGGCCUUGCUGGGUUCCCUGCUCAGUCUAUCAGCAUUAGAUCACACCCUUUAGUCCAUCACAUU
ensembl:lncRNA DLGAP1-AS3 DLGAP1 antisense RNA 3